rnacentral:rRNA from 1 species
AACGAACGCUGGCGGCAUGCCUAACACAUGCAAGUCGAACGAGACCUUCGGGUCUAGUGGCGCACGGGUGCGUAACGCGUGGGAACAUGCCCUUAGGUUCGGAAUAACUCCCCGAAAGGGGUGAUUAUACGGGAUAAUGUCUUAGGACCAAAGAUUUAUCGCCUUUGGAUGGGCCCUCGUUGGAUUAGCUAGUUGGUAGGGUAAAAGCCUACCCAGGCGACGAUCCAUAGCUGGUCUGAGAGGAUGAUCAGCCACACUGGGACUGAGACACGGCCCAGACUCCUACGGGAGGCAGCAGUGGUGAAUAUUGCACAAUGGGCGAAAGCCUGAUCCAGCAAUGCCGCGUGAGUGAUGAAGGCCUUAGGGUUGUAAAGCUCUUUUACCCGGGAUGAUAAUGACAGUACCGGGAGAAUAAGCUCCGGCUAACUCCGUG